AUGAACGCUAGCUACAGGCCUAACACAUGCAAGUCGAGGGGCAGCAUGAUUGAAGCUUGCUUCAAUUGAUGGCGACCGGCGCACGGGUGAGUAACACGUAUCCAACCUUCCGCUGACUCGGGGAUAGCCUUUCGAAAGAAAGAUUAAUACCCGAUAGCAAAGGAUUUCCGCAUGGAUAUUCUUUUAAAGGAUUCCGGUCAGCGAUGGGGAUGCGUUCCAUUAGAUAGUUGGCGGGGUAACGGCCCACCAAGUCGACGAUGGAUAGGGGUUCUGAGAGGAAGGUCCCCCACAUUGGAACUGAGACACGGUCCAAACUCCUACGGGAGGCAGCAGUGAGGAAUAUUGGUCAAUGGGCGAGAGCCUGAACCAGCCAAGUAGCGUGAAGGAAGACUGCCCUAUGGGUUGUAAACUUCUUUUAUACGGGAAUAAAGUCAUCCACGUGUGGAUGUUUGUAUGUACCGUAUGAAUAAGGAUCGGCUAACUCCGUGCCAGCAGCCGCGGUAAUACGGAGGAUCCGAGCGUUAUCCGGAUUUAUUGGGUUUAAAGGGAGCGUAGGCGGGCUUUUAAGUCAGUUGUGAAAGUUUGCGGCUCAACCGUAAAAUUGCAGUUGAUACUGGAAGCCUUGAGUACAGUAGAGGCAGGCGGAAUUCGUGGUGUAGCGGUGAAAUGCUUAGAUAUCACGAAGAACUCCGAUUGCGAAGGCAGCUUGCUGGACUGUAACUGACGCUGAUGCUCGAAAGUGUGGGUAUCAAACAGGAUUAGAUACCCUGGUAGUCCACACAGUAAACGAUGGACACUCGCUGUUGGCGAUAUACGGUCAGCGGCUUAGCGAAAGCGUUAAGUGUCCCACCUGGGGAGUACGCCGGCAACGGUGAAACUCAAAGGAAUUGACGGGGGCCCGCACAAGCGGUGGAGUAUGUGGUUUAAUUCGACGCAACGCGAAGAACCUUACCAGGGCUUGACAUAUGGGUGAAGCGGGGGAGACCCCGUGGCCGAGAGGAGCCCAUACAGGUGGUGCAUGGCUGUCGUCAGCUCGUGUCGUGAGAUGUUGGGUUAAGUCCCGCAACGAGCGCAACCCUUGUGAUAUGUUACUAACAUUGAGUUGAGGACUCAUAUCAGACUGCCGGUGAUAAACCGGAGGAAGGUGGGGAUGACGUCAAAUCAGCACGGCCCUUACGUCCGGGGCUACACACGUGUUACAAUGGGGGGUACAGCAGGCCGCUACCUGGCGACAGGAUGCCAAUCUCCAAAACCCCUCUCAGUUCGGACUGGAGUCUGCAACCCGACUCCACGAAGCUGGAUUCGCUAGUAAUCGCGCAUCAGCCACGGCGCGGUGAAUACGUUCCCGGGCCUUGUACACACCGCCCGUCAAGCCAUGAAAGCCGGGGGUACCUGAAGUGCGUAACCGCAAGGAGCGCCCUAGGGUAAAACCGGUGAUUGGGGCU
rnacentral:rRNA from 1 species